rnacentral:rRNA from 1 species
AUGGCUCUCCAUCGCCUCACCAAGCUGAUGGUGUGCUUGCUGGCAACCACGGCACUGUUGUUUGCCGGCGGCGCGGCAGGCAAGGCUGGACCACCAGCUGGCCGUCAGGCUGGCGGCCACGGCACCGGAGCCCUGCCACCGCUACCUCCCGCGGCAGCUCCUCUGCGGGGGGCCCGUGGCGCCGUCGCUCUCGUCCUGCCAGAAGCCCAAGACCAAGAGAGCCAGGGCGCCGGAGCACGCCCGCCGCUACCUCCAGCCGGAGCUCCUCUGCCGCGCGCCCGCGGCACCGGAGCCCUGCCACCGCUACCUCCCGCUGCAGCUCCUCUGCGGCGCGCCCGUGGCGCCGUCGCCCUGCCCCAAGUCCAAGGCCAAGAAAGCCACGGCACCGGAGCAGGCCCACUGCUACCUCCGGCCGCAACCCCUCUGCCUCACGCCGGCGUGGAGACGAUCACGACGCUGCAGUCCGACCCGUCGCCGGCGAUGAAGAUCACUUACGAAGUCACCAAGACAAAGUACAUGAAGUUCCAGCAAAGCCUUUACCGGAUGCUGACGUCCAGCGGGAGGGAGGUGGAAAACGUUCCCGAGCUGGCUCCCCAGACGGGCCCCAAGAAGCAGCCGCCGAUGUGGAUCCUGAUCACCAUCGAAGUCGAGAAGCCGCAGGAGGCGGUAGUUCUCGCCGUGCGGACCGACAAUGUCUACAUUGUCGGUUUCAAGAACGCGGCGGAAGUCUGGUUCGCCUUCUCCGAUGACAAAGACCUAAUCAAAGGUUCGACGCCGCUCCCCAAGUCGCAUGACUACCGCAGCCUCGUCGGUGGCCGCAAGAAGCUGAAGGACCUCGACGUCGACCAGGACGCCGUCGCGCAAGACGUUCGCUUCCUGUCGACGUACAGGCUCCCUUCCCGGCCGGACACGGCCCACAACGCCAUGCUCGGUACGAGCCUGGGGAGGCUGUCCCUUGUGGUCGCCGAGGCGGCAAGGUUGAAGACGAUCAACGCCACGGUGGUGGCGGCGAUGGAUGAGAAAGGCCCGAGCCGGAUCACCCUACAGCAGACGAAACUCAUCGUCGUUUGGGGCGUGACGUCCAAGGCACUGCUUGAUUGGAAAAAGAAUGGAGUAUGGAACCCGGAAGAUAGCGAGGACGUAAAAGAAGCCGGCAUCCACGGCGCACAAGAUGCCGUUAGCGCGCUCAAGGUUAUUCUUGUGCCCAUUGGGUACAAACGGGAGGCUGAGGAAGAUUAA